CCGGCGCUCGCCGCCCGACCUGCCCAGGCCGCCACGCAGGCGGUGACCCCCACUCGGUGGCUUUGGGUCCUCUGCCAGCGCUCGGACCCAAGGACAGGGUCCUCAGGAGCCGCUCUCCUAGAGCUCUGUCGCCCUGGGGGACGCACACCCUCCAUCCUGCCUCCGGAGCUGGGGACUGGGCCGAGGGGAGGGAGCGACCCCCUCUGUGCAGUCCUCCCGCUCCGACUGCCAGAGAGGGUCGCUCUCUUAGGGGAGGGGGUUCCUCCUUAAGGAGGAAAACGCGGGCAGAACUGGAAGGGGGACAAGGGGCAGCCCUCGGCCCCUGGGGGCGGUGCCGCGCGGGCGGCGGGGGAGGGGGCGGUGACUCAGCCGCCCUCCGCCCGCCUCCCCGGAACUUUGCAGCAGCUGGAGCCGCCGUUGCUACAGGAACCGAAUGCUUUUGUUCCCCAAUGUCAGGGCUGCCGGGGCAGGCGGGUGAUGAGGAGGCUGCCACUCCCCGGUGGGACCCAGGUCCGGCCACACUACCCAGAGGACUUCCAGCCAUCACAGCCUCUACACUUGAACCAAGACCCCAGAGACCAUGGCCUGGCUUUCACUAACAUCCCUCUGGCCAGAGCUGAUCCCAGAGAAAUAUAGUGGGAAGUUGCAG
rnacentral:lncRNA from 1 species